AUGUUCAAUGGGGAGAAUGAGAGUUUUACCAUUGAACUAGACGACUAUUUUGAUGAGACCAGCAGGCAAUUUGUGCGGCAAAUCCAGGAGUCUGAGGUCAAGGAGGCUUUAAAAAGUAUGAAAGGAGGCAAGGCGAUGGGCCCUGAUUGUAUCCCCAUUGAGGUGUGGAAAGGCCUUGGGGACAUAGCGAUAGUAUGGCUAACCAAGCUUUUCAACCUCAUUUUUCGGGCAAACAAGAUUCCAGAAGAAUGGAGACGGAGCAUAUUAGUACCAAUCUUCAAGACAAGGGGGGUGUGCAAAGUUGUACUAAGUACCGUGGAAUUAAGCUGA
rnacentral:rRNA from 1 species